rnacentral:rRNA from 1 species
UGGGGAAUCUUAGACAAUGGGGGAAACCCUGAUCUAGCCAUGCCGCGUGAGCGAUGAAGGCCUUAGGGUUGUAAAGCUCUUUCAGCUGGGAAGAUAAUGACGGUACCAGCAGAAGAAGCCCCGGCUAACUCCGUGCCAGCAGCCGCGGUAAUACGGAGGGGGCUAGCGUUGUUCGGAAUUACUGGGCGUAAAGCGCACGUAGGCGGAUUAGUCAGUCAGAGGUGAAAUCCCAGGGCUCAACCCUGGAACUGCCUUUGAUACUGCUAGUCUUGAGGUCGAGAGAGGUGAGUGGAAUUCCGAGUGUAGAGGUGAAAUUCGUAGAUAUUCGGAGGAACACCAGUGGCGAAGGCGGCUCACUGGCUCGAUACUGACGCUGAGGUGCGAAAGCGUGGGGAGCAAAACAGGAUUAGAUACCCUGUAGUCCACGCCGUAAACGAUGAUGCCAGUCGUCGGGUUGCAUGCAAUUCGGUGACACACCUAACGGAUUAAGCAUUCCGCCUGGGGAGUACGGUCGCAAGAUUAAAACUCAAAGGAAUUGACGGGGUCAUAGCUGUUUCCUG